AUGUUAAAGGCAAAUGGAGUUGUGACUUACCCAGGGUCACACAGCUAAUAAGUGUCUGAGGAUUUCUAAGAGGUUAACUUGAAAAAUUCUUCAAACCACUUUCAGAAAUGAGCAGCACUGUCUGCAGUCAGAACUAGGCACACUGGAGAAGUUCUCCCCCCAUUCUUCCCCAUUCUCCUUGAAAAGCACAAGUUUCCUUUUGUCAUCAAGAUGGCAGACUUCUAGAAGCUACCCAUCAGCUGCCUGCCACCUCCUAGCUAAGUCAGAGGAUAGCUGACAACCAUUUGUUUCUGAGAGCCUUCAAGAGAUAAGAAGCAGUGUGGCAUAAUGGAUUGUGUGUUGACCUUGAAGCCAAGAAGACUUGGAU